AUGGCUUUAUUUUAUUGAAGGAGAAACACACAGUGUGAUGAAUAUCAAGUUACCAAAGUCACAUAUCUGUUCCUUCUUUGAUCACUACUGAACUCCUUUUCUAUUAAGCAAUGCAUUUAUAGACACAUAUCCUACGAACCAUGCUAGCUUGCCUUUCUUGGAGGGAAGGGGGAUAGAAAGGCAAUUAAAAUACAAAGGUUUAUUUUCCUAAUGGAUUAAUUAAUAGAUAGAAACAUAGAGAGUAGGCUAAAAAUAGAGUCCAUGUUAAUACGGGACAUGUUUGUGCUCCAUGUCAAAUAAUAGAGCCUGGGAGAAGUAAAUUUUAGCUAGUCAUCCUCUACUCAUCUCUGCAGUGUUGAUUCUGUUUUACUGAUUUCUCAAAAGCAACCUUGGCUACCCAGUUUCAAAGUGGCUGAAGUGCUGGGUUAUCUCCCCUAUAUCUGAAGACAUAAACAUACCUUUAACUAUUGUUUUAACAUAAGCCUUGAAAGCUUCCUAACUUGUAUUUAUCCUUUAAACAGCAGCUGAGGGAAGGACAAUCAAAUCAGAUGUUUUCUCAGUUGUUCUUAUCCUGUGUUUAAGCCUUAUUACUCCCUCCCUACAUAGCACAGGGCUGUCCCUUUUGCUAACCAUGCUGAGUAUAUCAGCGGUCUUCCUGUGAUUAACACAGUGAUGCAAUGAGAGUUAUUAAAAGCUAGUUAGUAAAGCAGAGCAGGCAAGCUGUUCUAAACUUAGUGUAACCUGAAGCAAGCAAUGAAGUAUCCUCUGGUUCCUUUGGUGAAUGAGCUGACCUUUCCUCUUCUUUUCUUCUGGUUUUGUUUGCCAUUUGUAAUGCUGUUGAUCAUAAUGAUUAUCUGGCUACAGCUUCUACUUAAUGAAGCACAAAUGCCCAGUGUAGAAGAAAUAAAGAAACCAUCUUCUGAUGAGCCUGAUUCUGACUCUAAAUUUGAGGAUGAACCAACAGAGGAAGAAACCCAGAAUGACACAUCCAGUACAGAAAUGCAAGAGGAGAUGCAAUCCAGUGGAUCUGUGGAAAAACUGAGGCCUAAGCCUGCUUAUCUGAGUUCAAAUGCAAAAAGCCAAAAGCAAAGUCUUUUUGCUGUAAUCUCAGACAGCUGGUCUCAGAGCCAGAAGAUAAGAUAUUCUCAGGUUGAGAAGAGCGAUUUCUGUAACAUCGUGAUGGUGAGUACCGUGAGCAGGCUACCUCUUUGCAUAUCUACUGCUUUUGUGCCUUAGCUCUGAUUUUUUUUUUCACCUCUGCCUGACUCCCUGGCAUUGUGGGUAAGAGAAAGCUGCAAGAUUGGUUUCUGCUUGGUUAAUGACUAACAAGAGACUUUUUCCAUCUUCCCUAUUUGGAAUGACUCCUGUUGUAGACAAAGUAAAGAAGGGGCUCAGAAGGGAAAGCUGGUCUGUGCCUCCACUGUCACUAUUCACAGUCCUGUCUACUCAUUUACAUUGCUGGGAUUUUUGAAUUGCAGCAGCUGAGGUACUCACUCACAUUUACUUCCACCAGGUUUGCUGGAGCAGUAACCUUUGUUAGGCUAGAAUAGCUAAGGACUGGUAUCAUUUUAAAUUGCUGCAGUUGUUUGACUAGCACACCCUGAAGCUGGAACAGCUCAAGUCAAAGUAUUUUUGACAUCGUUAACAUCACCAAGGCAGUACCAAGUCAGUGUAGUAAUAUAUAAUUUUUUUUUUUUCUUCAUUGUUGUUGUUCAAAGGCUUGAGAAACAAUGCUAAGAAUGAGCUUGGACUUGCCUAGGCUACCAUUUGGUUCUCCUAGAGCUCUUCACAUGUACAAGUAUUGAUUUGAACACAGCAGUUUGAAGAACUGGGGUUUAAACUUGGCUCUUGUGGGACAUAAUGCUCAUACUGAAAGGCUUGCUAGUUGUGUUGGGUGGAUGAGGGAAGGGAACAAGCAUUCAUGGUCUCAAAUCAUUUAUAUCCAACUGAAAAUUGAACUUCUGAAAACAGUAUUGCCAUGACAGUUCUGUUCCUCCUUUUCUUCACCAGCUGUUAUGCACCAUGCUUUCUUCUCUCACCUGGAACUUUGGCUACCAGUUGCUCCAGAUCUCUAAUGUCCUGAGGAUUCAACUGCUGCUCUCCUCUCUGAUUAUCUACAUGGCUCAGCUGUUCGUUUUGCUGGGUGAAAAAGUUGUGAAAAUCCUGGGCUCCAUGAGGCUAGAGUUGGCUUCAGUCUUGGGGAGGAAACUGGAACGGAGUGACGAAGCUCAGAGAACCACUUCGGGGUGGAAAUAAAGCAGGUAGUCCCACAACUGUUAGCAGCAAUCUUGCUCAGCAUCAGUGAGAGCUACUGCAGUAUGGUAGAGGGAGGUUAAUUCUCCGAAAAGGAAACUUACUCGAGACUAAGUGGACAGACGCUUGGGUCACAACAGCUGCUUUCAGAGUGAACGGUAUUGACAGUCUAAAUAUUAAAUGGAUGACAGCAGCCAGCCUCUUGUCCAGUGCUUGGGUGUGUACUCUGCCCCCCUCUGACUUUACAGAGGGAUGAGUUCCUUUUUUCAUAAGGACUACAGUGAUACUCCCUAUUGACCAUUUUGAUAUCUUUGAUUUUGAACAAAUAAGAUCAAGGCAAUAGCUCUUGGUAGUGGUUCUUGCUGGAGCUUAAAUGCAGUACAGCCCAGUGAUUAUUUUACUCAUACUGCAAUUAGCACUUUUCUGAUCUCCAACUUGUCAGUUCUCCAAGUAGGAAACAAAUUUUUCCAUGCUCAGGUCUAACAAAUGAAACAAGCCUACCUCCAAUUAACAAGAAAUAAUGAAGCCCUUAGCAGAUACUGUGCAUGCAUUUCCUUCAUUUCUGUUCAGGAUAUGCUUUUCAGCACAGCUGACAGGCUGAUAAAAGGUUAGAUUACAGCCCAAAGAGGCACUCAGACCAACAACUUGAUUUAACCAGUUAGUGGGACCACAAGGAUGUUGGUAGGACUGCGAUGAGCCAUGAUUUUGUGGCUUAAGGGUUUAUCCAGUUGUUUGUUGGGCUAUGAGCAGAAGAGCUGUUUGCUCCUGGUGUUGAUGCACACAUUCAACAAACUCUUUAAAAAAAGAGGACCUGAAUUAGGAUGUCACAACCCAAAGAGCGCAUUGCUACUUGUGAAAAAUGUUUUGUCUCUGCUCCUGGUGUGAAGUAACUGUGUCUCUGGAGCCUUGCAUGGGUAGACCGAGUAACAGUUACACUAGCCCGCACUAAUUAUGAAGCCUGCCUUGUUUAUGUUUACUUGUCCUUCCCUCCCCAUCCCCUGACCUCCACAUCUUCAAAUAUUUGUCCAGAGCAGUAUGCUCUUAAAUAAAACUUGUUUGUCCACA